UACAGAGGUCUCAAGCGUUGUUCGGAUUCAUUGGGCGUAAAGGGCGCGUAGGCGGCAAGGCAAGUCGGGUGUGAAAGCUUGGGGCUUAACCCCGAAAGGGCACUCGAAACUGCCCUGCUAGAGGGCCGGAGAGGAGAUCGGAAUUCACGGUGUAGCAGUGAAAUGCGUAGAGCUCGUGAGGAAGACCGGUGGCGAAGGCGGAUCUCUGGACGGCCCCUGACGCUGAGGCGCGAAAGCGUGGGGAGCGAACAGG
rnacentral:rRNA from 1 species